rnacentral:rRNA from 1 species
UACGUAGGGGGCUAGCGUUGUCCGGAAUCAUUGGGCGUAAAGAGCGUGUAGGCGGCCCGGUAAGUCCGCUGUGAAAGUCAAAGGCUCAACCUUUGAAUGUCAGCGGAUACUGCAGGGCUAGAGUCCGGAAGAGGCGAGUGGAAUUCCUGGUGUAGCGGUGAAAUGCGCAGAUAUCAGGAGGAACACCGAUGGCGAAGGCAGCUCGCUGGGACGGUACUGACGCUGAGGCGCGAAAGCGUGGGGAGCAAACAGG